CCCGUUAACGCAGCCAUGCAGCCACGCAGCCAUGCAGCCAUGCAGCCAUGCAAACACUACUUGUUGCAUGGUAAACCUGAAGUCACGGGUGGCCAGGGAACCUACAGGAUGAGGAACUGAGUGCGCCCACCUUGCCCACGGGCUCAGUCCAGGAGGCGGGGAGCACUGUCAGAGGGCGGGGUGCGUGUGUUGUGUGAGGGCUUGAGCUCAGGUGCUCUGAGGGCCCGUAGAGAAGAAGCUCAGUGACAUCCAGAGUUUAAGGCCUUGGUUAGGCUGUAGAUCCGUCCCCAGCGAGGAAGGGCCGAGCUCGCAGAGCAGCCAUCUCGCUGCGGGGUCGGGGACCGGUGCUUGGCGAGCUUUGCCCAAUGGCGGGCUGCCAAAUAACACUGGAUAAUAAUACAAUUUGAGAGAGCUUCCCUCAGAGGACCCCACUCAUCUCUACAAAACUAUUGACUAUGGGUAUUAUUUUAUGAUUGAUUUUAAUAAAGAUUUAUUUUCUUGAAUUAUGCAUAAAUAUAGUUAUCAAUAACAA